CGUAUUAGCAUGUUAAUGAACUGCAAUCUACUUUAACCUUUUAACACUUGAUACAAUGUUAACUUCCUCUUAAAAUUGUGUGUUAUAGUAAUACUCUGAUGCAUUUUAGAUCAGAAGAAAACUUAUAUAAGAAUUAGCGUAAUUAAGGUUGUUUAUAUCAUUUCAUCCAUGUUUAAAUUCUUCUACAGUUGUCCAUCUCAACUGAUAGGUAUAGUUCUUGUGUUUGCCUAAUUCACUUGGUUCAUCUCAGCUCGAGAUACUCUUUCCUAUAAAACCAGUCUUCAUUCAAGAUCUAAGGUGUAACCAUUCAUUCCUCCUUUUCCUCCCACUACACAUUCUCAAUCUUUAUUCAGAGGACUCAUAACUGAAUAUGGAGAGUUUGAAGCUUGCAAAUGCUCUUACCAUAGUCAUGGUGGUCCUCACUAUCUUUGCUAGUUUCGAAGCUACAAGAGCUCAAUUUGCACCAGCGCCAGGGCCUGCAUCAAGUGCUUUUGGAAUCAUGGACGAAACAGAUGGACCUGCCCCCGGACCAACAAGUGACACCGCCACACUCUUUGUUCCACUUAUGCUCUCGGCCCUGGCCUCUAUCUUUGCUUACAUGUUCUAAAUUUGAUCGGCAUUUCACUUUUGUUCCUUGAUUUGUUCUUGUUCACCUCUUUUUGCUGUUAUUGAAAAUAAGGAUGCAUUUAGAAUGAUUAUAUUAGUUAAUCCCAUCCUGCCUAGUUAUAUAUGUUCGAAUUCUAUCUUAUCAUGUGGUUUCGAUAUGAUUAAUCUUCUCGUUGAUUAAA